rnacentral:rRNA from 1 species
CCUACGGGAGGCAGCAGUGGGGAAUAUUGCACAAUGGGGGAAACCCUGAUGCAGCGACGCCGCGUGAGUGAAGAAGUAUUUCGGUACGUAAAGCUCUAUCAGCAGGGAAGAAAAUGACGGUACCUGACUAAGAAGACCCGGCUAACUACGUGCCAGCAGCCGCGGUAAUACGUAGGGGGCAAGCGUUAUCCGGAUUUACUGGGUGUAAAGGGAGCGUAGACGGCGAUGCAAGUCUGAAGUGAAAGGCGAGGGCCCAACCCCCGGAGUGCAUUGGAAACUGGAUGGCUGGAGUGCAGGAGAGGUAAGUGGAAUUCCUAGUGUAGCGGUGAAAUGCGUAGAUAUUAGGAGGAACACCAGUGGCGAAGGCGGCUUACUGGACUGUAACUGACGUUGAGGCUCGAAAGCGUGGGGAGCAAACAGGAUUAGAUACCCCUGUAGUC